rnacentral:lncRNA from 1 species
UGACACUGCAUAGAUGGACUCUUGUCAUUUCUUGCGCCGCAUGGUCUCCUUCCUUUCUCUCGCCCAUGACUCUUUCAGGCAGCCCCCCCUUCGGACCCUGAAUAACUGGACCCUCGGGAUGGAUCAAUUGGCGCCUGAACAGUGACCCGAAGUAUGGUCAGCUGUCGGACGGCGGACAGACAGCCCGGGACAAAGAGGAUCCUGUGGACAGCUAAACUCAUGCUCUCUUCAGGUGGAGGCAUAGGAUAACAAAAUGUGAGGUCUUGGGAAGCAGUUGGCUGGGCCAUGUGGAAGAAGCAUGUAUAGACACUAUGAAAUAGACACUAUGGAUCAUAGACACUAUGAAAACAAUUGCCUGUUCCUGUGAAGAUAUUUUGUCAUCCCUAACACAAAGGAAAUCAAAUAAUGUAACAGCAACUUUCCAUAUUCUGAAAUACAAAUUGACCAGUGAGGACAGCCAUGAUCACAUGGAGACCCCUGGUUAAUCAGAAGCCCUGUUUGUGCUCUUCCCCCAUUUCUCCCCUCGAAAAGGAGACCCAGUGAACCAGCCUUUCCAUGUUUUAGAAGACGGGAAGAAUCACUUUCAGGAGGAUGGUGUGGAAGGACGGGGCAAGAGAUGCUGAAGCUAUAUCAUGCUCAACAAAUACUCCUGCCUGGGUCUGAGGCCCAGAUAAGAUGAAAUUAUGCCAGAAAGGGGUGUCCUGAGUGCUAGUGUCAUCCACAGAGCUGCUGGGGACCUUGCAGUCAACAUGAAUUCUCUGGACAGCCUUGAGGUCAUCUAUCCUUAUGCGAUUCAUCCCUGGAUAGAACAUCCACUAUGUCUCUGAACAUGGAUUUCUCCUCAGAUCCACCAUCCAAGUGACCCAAGAUGACCAGGGCCAGUUUGGGCCUACAACAUCUGGAUACAGGCCAUUCAGGGACUGGAAACUCAUGAGCAAGCAAAUUUCCCACAUCCCGAGGACACAGUUCUUGUCUCUGGACUACACCAAGGGGAGUCCUAGAUCUUCAUGAAAGAUACAAAGAAAAGAUUGGACAGUGCGUUUUAUAAGAGACCCAUUUGGUUUACCCAGUCACAUGUUCUCCUCUUUGUAUUUCACUAAUUAAUGAACACAAUUUGAUAUCAGGGAUUAAUAGGUUUAGGUUCAAAACCCACCCAGAACCAUAUUAUCUGCACAUAAUGCACCAUAUAUACAUGGAGGUCUGUGUCAGUUCUUGCUAGGUAUUCCAUUCUCUAGUGAAAAGCAACACCCCUCAUCCAAUCUAUCCUCUCCCCUCUCUUACUUUCUCUACACAGAAACACACACAUGCUAAUACACACACACACACACACACACACACACACACACACACACACACACACACAAUGUUAGGUGAGCCUAGUAUCAUCAUGCCAAGACAUGGUGGCAUGAGGACAGACAAGGUGCUGAAGAAGGAGCCGAGAGUGAGUAAGGGCUAUGUCUUAAUCCUGCA